rnacentral:tRNA from 1 species
ACUCGCGGAAUCUAGUGGUCAAGGAUAUUGGGCUUUGGACCCAAGGACGGCGGUUCGAAUCCGCCCGGGGCUA